UACGUAGGGUGCAAGCGUUAAUCGGAAUUACUGGGCGCAAAGCGUGCGCAGGCGGCUUUGCAAGACAGCUGUGAAAUCCCCGGGCUUAACCUGGGAACUGCAUUUGUGACUGCAUGGCUGGAGUGCGGCAGAGGGGGAUGGAAUUCCGCGUGUAGCAGUGAAAUGCGUAGAUAUACGGAGGAACACCGAUGGCGAAGGCAAUCCCCUGGGCCUGAACUGACGCUCAUGCACGAAAGCGUGGGGAGCAAACAGG
rnacentral:rRNA from 1 species